ensembl:lncRNA
GGAAGGGGUUUGCAACAGUUUCCUGGAAGGCCUUGGGAGAGGCAGGGUCCCCUGGGGUGUGGCACCAGGGCAUGGGCCUCCUCUGCCCCUGUCUAGAGGAGGCACUGGUCUCAUGGACAUGGAUUUUCAGUUGACAUGACACUCACUACCAGCAAGUCUCAGGGAUCUUUAUGGACCCUGCUUCACCAGAUUUUAUCCCCCUCAAUCUGACCCAAUCCCCCAAUCCCACCCCCCCAGGUCAGGAUUCGGGUCUACAGAGGUGCCCAAUGUAUCUGCUUCUCGCCAUCAAGUCCAGCCACCACCACAGGAACUGUGAGGGCGGCAUCAAACCAGAGGUCAGGGAUCUCAGGGAAACUCAGGAGAAGGCAGGCGAGCUCUCCCACCUGAACCCUCUCCCAUCCUUCCUCCUCUCCCCAUCCUCUGAGAGCCUAGCUUCCUGGAGUUGAAGCCUACCCCCAACUGCUCAGGCACGGGCAACCACGGCCUCUGGCCUCACAAUGACCACCACUGUUGCUAAGCGAUGUGUCCCCAGGUUCUGAGGGAGCAGGAGCGCCAUCUGGUGGCGGGCAGGCACACAUUGUGGUCUGUGCCCCAGGUGGGGCUGUGGCCUGUGUCCUCCAGUGGGUGCUGCAGAUGCAUGGAUAGAUGGAAGGAAGGAAAGAUGAAAAGACAGAUGGCUGUGUGCUUGGGGCUCCCAAGAGUGAAGCAAGGCUGGGCAGGACCUGGCUGACUCAGCAGGAUCAGGAGCCUAGCAGGGGUCUCCUUUCCUCAAGUUGGCCUUGACGCUGUGCCUGGGACUGUCUCGAAAGAGCUCUGCCCUGUGAGCCCAAGAGGAGACUGCCUGUGUGCUUUUGGGUGGCUUUGCUCACCAGGGCCUUCAGCACCUGGAGCCACAGGCCGAGCCCAGGGAGCCACCCCUCCCGGAGGAGGGACGAGGCUUGCCUGCUGGGCCUGGGCACCCUGCCGUCCCCAUUCCUCCCAGUCACCUCGUGGCUAUGUUGCUCUCUUUCAGUUGUGUGGCUGAGUGUGAACUGUUUUGUCCUUCCUCAUUGAAGUCUCUCCUGGGUUUUCUUAAGGCGCGCCCCGCUUGGCGAUGGUUUCGGACCGGCCAUUGUCAAGGAAGCCCCUCUCCAUCCUGAGACAUACCUAUCCAAACACAAGAACACGAGAAGAGCUGAUCAGGAACUAACUUUACACUUGGAGGAAAAAUGGCCAAAGAGCUCAGAGAAGGUGCUCAGGACUCCAGCGCCACCCUUCCACCUCCUUCCCCCAAUCGCCAAAGUAACACGAUCAAGAAGAGGAGAGUCACUUUGGGAUGGCUAGGUGGACUCAACUGCUCACUUGAUGGUGAAGACACAACUGACCCACCGCCGGUUGAGCUGUCUCUUUUGGCCGGCCAGCACCUCAUCUCCUGGCAACCACUAUUUCCUGAGAAGCAUUACCUGCAAUGGACCUCUUUCACUCCUGUCUCUGCAUUUACUACUGAGAAGAACCAACUAAUACACAUGCAGGGUUUAGAACUCAACCCUAUGUAAGAUGUGGAUCCUCUGAUGUAUGUAACAUGACUGAUCCAAUAGCUGGCACAAAGUAGGCCUCCAGUAGAUGUUAGUUGCUUCUCCUUUUGCAUCAUUUAGAACAUGCAUCUGGCUGCUAGUUAAGAGAGACUCAACACAAAUAAGAGAACAUUCGCACAAAUAAGAUAAUUGACAGUUUAAAGUGGUAAGAUGGCUUCACAGUGUCGUAGAAGUCCCAGCCUUCUAGCUGUUCCUGCCAAAUAGUCAUGUGCGCAAAGCCAUCUUGUACCCUCUAGACCAGGUAAGCUGCCACCUAAUGAUCCCAGUUGACACUACGUGGAACAGAAUUGCUCAGUCAAGCCUUGCUCAACUUCCUGAUUCAUA